ACGUGGGAGCAGAGGCCGACCCCCAGCUCACCACCACCUCCUUUCAGGAGCUGUAGAGAGCAAUAAGCAUCUCCAGAGCCUCCUCCAGACUGAACAACACAGCUCCCUCAGCCUCUCCCCACAAGACCUGUGCUUCAGACACCUCACAGCUCCGUUGCCCUUCUCUGGACACGCUCCAGGGCCUCGAUGUCCUUCUUGCAGUGAGGGGCCCAACACUGAACGCAAUACCCGAGGCACGGCCUCACCAGGGCUGAACACAGAGGGACGAUCACCUCCUGCUCCUGCUGGCUCCGCUAUUUCUAACACAAGCCAGGAUGCCGUUGGCCUUCCUGGCCGCCUGGGCAUGCUGCUGGCUCAUGUUCAGUCUUUCUUAUCAGUGUUAGCUCUUUGAAGACUUAUCUAACAACAUCUACUAGGGCUACGGAGCAACACUGGUGUGCUGCCAACACGAGCAGUGGUCACCCACUUCCAGCUUAUCAGCAGCCACAGGCCACUCACUCUCCCCCGGGCACCCCUAUCAGCCAGAGCCAGGAACACAAUGUGACUGCGGAGGACACAGACACAGGAGGGCAUCGACCGGCCAUCACGUUGGUGAACUGCUUCUCUAUUCCACUACCAUGUUGGUGAACCCCCCUGUUUGGGCUGGUACACCAACAAAAGCACCGGAGUUCUUGGCAGACUCUGGUGGCAGCAGAGGGGCAGCGUGACACAAUGGCAUCUGACACGGGAGUGAGUACAGAGCAAAGGUGUGUCUUUGACUUUCUCCAUGCAGAAAAAAAAAUGGCCUCCAUUGACAUUCAUGGACGCUUGCUGAGCACUGAUGGACACCAAGCAGUGGAUGUGAGCACAGUGAGGCGGUGGGGGUGCGUUUCAGCAGUGGUGACAGUGGCAGUGUGUCACCUCCACUGGUGCAGAUAUUUCUGAGCGCAGCGUGCAGGCUCUUCUUGUUUAUUGCUGGCAAAAGUGCCUAGCUAAUGGUGGAGAGUGCAUUCACAAAUAGUGUUUUGUAGCUGAGAAUUUGCUCUAUCGAACACUGUUAUUGUGCUCUUUGUAUCUGUUGUCGUUUCCAUGGAAAUAGGAGGCAUUACUUUCGGAGCGACCUACGUAUAUUAAACAAAGCAACCGAGUUUACAAUGAAGCUGUGAAGGCCGCCACUAGAGGGCAAAGCAAGCUAAACAAUCAUCAUCCCUAGAGCAACAAAGAAAACAAUGUCAUCUCUGACCGGCCUCUGCUGCCCAGCCCUCUGCCGUAUCACACUGUGAGUCACCAAAUCGGGCUUCCCCGCAGGGAGCUAUGGCCAAAAAAGGCGGCACGGACGGGAAGGUAAACGCUGUCACACGCAGCCUACAGCCCCCAGGAGGAUGUGUCCACCCGCAGCUGCCAGUCACCGUGACUCAGGACAGGGAAAGAGCGGCCUGCUCGCACACUCGGGGCUUGACAACCCAGUGACCUACAUAACAUCUCCGUGGUACCCAGAGCAGCUCCUCGCUGCACUACAGCCUGGCACCGCAGCGUGACAUUGUGCAGUGGGGGACGGAAGGAAAAUGAAUGGGGAAAGCAUUGGAUUUGCUUGGAAAGAAAAACGUCAUGAGUAAAUAAAUUCAGUCUUGAUUAAUGCUUAA